rnacentral:tRNA from 1 species
UCCCUGGUGGUCCAGUGGUUAGGACUCAGCACUCUCACUGCCAGGGCCAGGGUUCAGUCCCUGAUCGGGGAA